ensembl:miRNA
UGCCGGCCUCUGCGUCCCUGAGACCCUUUAACCUGUGAGGACGUCCAGGGUCACAGGUGAGGUUCUUGGGAGCCUGGCGUCCGGCC